UACGUAGGGUGCAAGCGUUGUCCGGAAUUAUUGGGCGUAAAGAGCUCGUAGGCGGUCUGUCGCGUCGGCUGUGAAACCCGGGGCUCAACCCCGGGCCUGCAGUCGAUACGGGCAGACUAGAGUGCGGUAGGGAGACUGGAAUUCCUGGUGUAGCGGUGAAAUGCGCAGAUAUCAGGAGGAACACCGGUGGCGAAGGCGGCUACCUGGACCAGCAUUGACACUCAAGCACGAAAGCGUGGGAGCAAACAGG
rnacentral:rRNA from 1 species